GACAGAGGGUGCAAACGUUGUUCGGAAUUACUGGGCGUAAAGCGAGUGUAGGCGGUCUCGUAAGUCGGGUGUGAAAGCCCCGGGCUCAACCCGGGAAGUGCACUCGAAACUGCGAGGCUAGAGUAUCGGAGAGGUUGGUGGAAUUCUCGGUGUAGAGGUGAAAUUCGUAGAUAUCGAGAGGAACACCGGUGGCGAAGGCGGCGACCUGGUCCGAUACUGACGCUGAGGCGCGAAAGCGUGGGGAGCAAACAGG
rnacentral:rRNA from 1 species